UAGGCUUUCAACAAGUACCUAUGUAUCCUU
rnacentral:piRNA from 1 species